UCUAAGCAAAAACACACUUGAAGUUUAUCUCACUAAACUUGGUAGUAUUUCUCUCUCUAAACUUGGUAGUAUUUCUCUCUCUAAACUUGGUAGUAUUUCUCUCUACAAACUUGUGUAAAUUGUUGAACAUGUCUUGAGCCCUCACCCUCUCCUCCAAAUGGGGUGGCUGCAAUCCCUCCUCUCUCCCUUCAAGAAGCUGUGGAUUCGUCUCAAUUCCGCUAAGAAGAAGAGUAGAGGGAUGUACAUUUUGUACGAGGAUGUGAAAUUGUGCCCUUACGAAGACGUCCAUGUGCUUUGGUCCAUAUUGGUGGAGUCACAUCGGCCACCGUUGCCACUGCCACUGCCUCCCAAAUCAUGACUUCUCCAUUAGCAAGAAAAGCGUACGUACGACACGACGGGAAGAAACCAAAGAGACAGAAAAGUAACAUACGUACAUGUAAAUACGAUAGAAACUUUCUUUUACAUUUCGCUUUUCAAUUCUCCUUUUACGGAUUUCAGGCUUAUUCGAGGUAAAGUUAAUACACAAUGCUCAUACAUUAUUUUAGUUCUUGGUAAAUUAAAAUGAGUUGUUGUUGCCACGUCAA